rnacentral:SRP_RNA from 1 species
GCUGGGCAUGGUGGUGCAUGCCUGUAGUCCCAGCUACUAGGGAGGCUGAGGCAGAAGAAUCACUUGAGCUCGGGAGGUGGAGGUUGCAGUGAGCAGAGAUAGUGCCACUGCAUUCCAGCCUGGGCGACAGAGUGAGACUUUGUCUCAA